rnacentral:lncRNA from 10 species
GAUAUAGAUCCAUUGACUUUUAUUACAAAUGUACUUGAUCACUUGGCUUCAAAAAGUUUAAAAUCAAUACCCUAUUUUCUGUAUGCCAGUACAAAGCAAACUGUUUUACAAAUUAAAUACCUAAAAAUUUGACAAAAAUAUUAAAAUUUGAUGAAAAACAAUUAUAAAAAUCCUUAAUCUCUCUCUUCAAAAAAGGAGGCAGUCUUCCCACUCCUAUUAUACAAUAUUAAUAAUAUUCACCAUUUUUAGAAUAGGUAGCUAAAUUAUAUCUUUCUGUUAGCAUACAAAACUUAGACUAAUAUAUUUGUAUAUGCUCCAGUUAAGUUUGUGAAUGCCAUCUGAUUGCAAUAUAAUCAACUAUCUUUAAUUGAAUCCUAAUUUACACUUAUUUAAUAAUUUGCAUAGUUUGAAAGGGAUAAAGGUUAUUCUACAACUAAUUAUCAUAGGCUAUUACAGUGCUACUUUUCAAGGCAAUAAGUAUUUGCUCCCAAAUGAAGUAUAUGUCUUCUUUAGGCAGGGGUUAAAAUUACUAGCAGCUUUCUCUAUUACCUGAAAAAUCAAAUUGGAAGUUAUCCAUCUCUCUAGAUGUGAAGGCCUGAAAAAACAUAAUAUACUUUCCGCUUGGAAUCAAAUUUCAACCCCUGCAUGGGACAACUAGAAAGUGAGACUUUCAAGGUUUUUUAUUUCCCUGUUGGUUUUGGUUUCUACUCUCCAUGGCUUUUUGAGAAGCUGGAAAACAGUUUGUCUUUUCUGACUAGCAUUGUCUUUUUUUCCAUUUGGCAAAUAUUCAUCUACCUCCAAUCUGUAUCUAGUAGAGGAAAAGCCGACAUGGCUUUUCUUAUGAACUUCCUUUGUUGUCAAAGGCAUGUAUAAUGAUUUCUACAGUUCUGGUUAGUUAACUUUAGCUCCCUCUGUGGCUGGAUGACUGCUGCUUCUAACAUCAGCAUGAUAAAUAGGAGGCACAAAUAAAAAGUAGCUUAAAAAAAAUUUGGUGAUUUAAAAGAAAAAAACAACUCCAAACACACACACAUACAUAAGCAUUUCAAAUCUGGUGGCUGAUCUCUGGAUUAAAUUACUUGACAGUGUCUCUCAUUUUAAAGAACGUCAAUAUUGCAAUGCAGUUCAAGUUUUCUUUUAUACUUAGGCAAAUAAUACAGUUUAACCAAGCUCUUGGACCUUAAUUGUAAGACAAAGCAGAUCAAUAAAAAUAAGGCAUACUUCUCAGGAAUUAAGUUUUGUUUGCUUGUUUUUGGCACAUUUGAUCAUACUGUCUUCUAUGAAUAACACAUAUGGUCAAAUAUACCAUUUCCUUAUUUGUUUCAGCAUAAACAGGGUUUACCAACUAAAGAGGGAAGACAAGGUUUGGGAGGGUGCUUGGGGAGGUAAAGUGAGAUGCUUAAAAAAAGAGCAUCUUUACAGUCACUUAGUCUUUUCUAUGAUCACUUUUUAAGUCUUAAAAGAUCUGCAUGUGGAUUUCUUUUUAAACCCACUGACCAUAAAUCAGACACUGGUUUCAAAAUCGUAGUUAGAUUGUAUUAAACUGUUUUAGUGUAAAGACAAUUAAUUGCACAAUACAUGUGCUUCUUGAGCCGGUGGGAUUCCAAGCAGAAUCUGAAGUCUAUAGAUAAGAAAGGCUUCACUUUAGGUAACUCUGGCCCUAAAGAAAACCUCAUGAAAGAACUCGCAUCUCAAAGAAAGGACACUUUGCCUAAGUUUGCUGUGUUUUUGUUGACUUGCACUACUUAUUGCUGGCUACUAUGAAACAGUGAUCUAGGAGUACUCCAACAACCUGUAGUACAAGGCUUAACUUUAAGAAGCUAUAGUAAACAAGAGACAAAAUCAAAGCAAUUCUCUUUCCUAAUUAGUAACAGCACAGAGAAUGCAGUCUUUUCCAUAUCACAGUUAAAGUACAGUGAACAAAACAGCUCAACAAACCUUAAGACAAAAAAGUGCAGGUUAUUAAUGUUUACAUGCAGUUGAUAAGCAUUCCAAAUGUCACAUUAUGCACUGUAAAAGCUCAACUUUACUAUAUGGAAAUAAGAAAAAUGCACCUCUGGGGAGGGGGAAAAGCAAUUUAAUCAUUUCCAGUGAUUUUGUAAGUAAAGAAACUCCUAACUACUGUACGGUCACCUCAUAUUUAACAUUGAAUAUUAAAAGCAAACAAUUUAAUGGGAAAAUGCACAGUACAAUGAAAAUAGCUUGUUAUUCAACACAUACAGUAGAUCUCAAAAACGAAGACAACACACUCAACCAGGGAGCAUAAAAAUAUCAAAUCAAAACCCAAAGGACCAGCAGAAAAAAAUCCUUCAAAAAGACAACUGUUUGCCUUCCUAGGCCAAUGCUUUACAAUAUAAGAAGCACUGAUACCUUCCCGCUCCUACAGGUGGUGUCUUAUACAUACAGCAGUUAGAUCUAUAUGGCUGGAUUUGCCAAGAAACAAUUCCAUCCCCAGAACUCUCUGUCAGACAAGACCCUUUUUUUUUUUUUUUUUUUUUACCAAAAUACUUUCUACAGAAUUCCAAACCAAAAUGUACUGUUUAAGGCAUCUUUUUUAUAACAUUUUCUCUUCACUCAAAGAUGAUAGUCAUGCAGCAGUUUAAUGAUAAAAAUAUAUUAAUAUUUUACUA